GUUUUGAAACUAAUACACGCAAGAUUGGCCAAAUUUCUAUUUUGCUUUCAAAUUAUAUUUUUAAAUGAUGAUGUUGAGUGCUAUCUGAUGUUUGCUUUAGAUCCCACGACUCUCUAUCGUGCACGGACAGAAUACCAGAGUGAAUUCAAGAGGCACUGGAAAGAGGACAGGACAGAUUCUGUUCAGUGGGAUAUGAUCAAUAUAGUGGAGAAAGGAAAGAAAAUCCUUCAGAAACAUUUGGAGAUUUUUGCUGCCCACGGUCUGUGUCCAAAUAAAUGUGGGCUGUUGUAUCAGAGAGUGAUGAACUGCACUUCCUGCCAGUAUGGGCUCUUUAUGUGUCAGUCAGCCAUGCCACCACUAGACUGUGGAGAGCAUCAUCUUGAGGCAGAUGAAGGAGAGGAGGUGGUGCUGGACUGUUUCCUGCCCUGGCACGCUCUUGUAGUUGGGCAGAACGAGUACCAAUACUCUUGGCAUCCUGGAGAAAAGAAUCUGUCAGAUGAGGGAGAGUAUGAAGCGCUGGUGGUGACAGAGGAGUCUAAAAUUGUCCUCAAUCAGCUGAAAGUCAAUGAGGAAGGCAUCUACCGCUGCCUCCUACAGGAUCAAAAGGGUACUACGCUGUCCCGCAUGUAUUUCGAACUUAAAGUCAACCCACUGCCGUCUACAACCCCUAGACUGAUUGUGGCUUUGCCGUCCCUGCCCUCGGGUUAUGAUGCCACACUUCACGGCCUUCAGAGGAGCAGUUUCAUCAUUAUAGUGAUUUUACUGACUGUACUCAGCAUCACGGGCAGCCUUGUCAUCAUAGUGAACCUAAGAGUGACCAUGAAGUGGCAGGAGGAGGAAAGAGACAGCAGGAGAGGAGGAGAGGGGGAGGAUGUGGAGAACCUUGAGCUGGUGAAUGUGACAGAAAGAGGGAUGUGA
rnacentral:lncRNA from 1 species